GUGCGAGCGUUGUCCGGAAUUACUGGGCGUAAAGGGCUCGUAGGUGGUUUGGCGCGUCGUCUGUGAAAUUCCGGGGCUUAACUUCGGGCGUGCAGGCGAUACGGGCAUAACUUGAGUGCUGUAGGGGAGACUGGAAUUCCUGGUGUAGCGGUGAAAUGCGCAGAUAUCAGGAGGAACACCGAUGGCGAAGGCAGGUCUCUGGGCAGUAACUGACGCUGAGGAGCGAAAGCAUGGGGAGCGAACA
rnacentral:rRNA from 1 species